rnacentral:tRNA from 1 species
GGGCGCUUAGCUCAGCUGGUUAGAGCGUACGGUUCACAUCCGUAAGGUCAGGGGUUCAAGUCCCUUAGCGCCCA